UACGUAGGGUGCAAGCGUUGUCCGGAAUUAUUGGGCGUAAAGAGCUCGUAGGCGGUUUGUCGCGUCGAAUGUGAAAACCCGGGGCUCAACCCCCGGGGCCUGCAUUCGAUACGGGCAGACUAGAGUUCGGUAGGGGAGUCUGGAAUUCCUGGUGUAGCGGUGAAAUGCGCAGAUAUCAGGAGGAACACCGAUGGCGAAGGCAGGUCUCUGGGCCAUAACUGACGCUGAGAAGCGAAAGCAUGGGGAGCGAACAGG
rnacentral:rRNA from 1 species